rnacentral:lncRNA from 1 species
AUUGAGGACUGAUUUAACAACUCUCCGUGAUGGAUCUUGUCAACGGCUGCACGGUGUGUUGGAGGGGGUCUCGCUGGCCUGUGACCUUGCCUUUAUCUGUCGGUCUGUCACCACUGGUCUUCAAAGCGCAGCUUAAAGGAUCUGAGGCUUCUGUGUGGCCUUGAUGUGAUCUGCUUUCCUGUCAUGAAGCUUCAGCCCCAGCCUCUCCCCUCACCGUCUCCCCCUGCUGCUCGGAGCUAUUUGGCCGCUGUAUGAAUCCAGCUGUGGGUGAAUGCGUGCAGGUGUGAAGCCCGUUCCUAAUCCCCUGGCUGUGCACCCGGGUUCCUUUCGUACGCUUUGAACACGUGCCACAGAUCUUCGUUCCAGUAGGUAAGACUGCUUCUCAUCUGUGCAAGCUGAUGGCUUAUAUAUGUUUUUUGGGUUUCCCUAAAGCAGCCUAAAGUCUCCUAAUCCUCCCUUUCUGCCUCAUAUCU